UAUGAUGGGCAACCCAGAUUUUUAAGGUUCUAUAUGUAUUGGGAAGCUUGUAAAAAGGGUUAUAGGUACUUGACGCCUAUAAUUGGGGUUGAUGGGUGUCACUUGAAAGCAAAGUAUGGUGGACAGUUGUUGUUAGCAAUAGGGAUUGAUGGUAAUGAUAGUGUUUUCCCACUUGCUUAUGCAAUUGUAGAAGGUGAGACAAAGGACUCUUGGAGUUGGUUCUUAGAAAUGCUGAAAAAUGACUUGUGUAUUUUAGAAGAUGAGGAAAAACAAUUGACCUUUAUUUCAGACAAGUAAAAGGGAAUACUUCCUGCUUUUGAUAGUGUGCUCCCUGGAGCUACUCACAGGUUUUAUGUUAGGCAUCUUCAUGGAAACAUGAAGCUUGCGGGGUUCAAUGGGAAAUCUAUUAAAGACAACCUGUGGGAAGCAGCAAGAUCGAGCUACAACUGUCAACCAUUUCACACAAGCCAUGAACAAGUUGAAGACAAUGGAUGCAAAUGCUUAUGCUUGGGUGAUGGAGAAACAUCCAUUUGAAUGGUCCAGGUCAAACUUCACAACUACUUCACAUUGUGACAUUUUAGUCAAUAACAUUUGUGAAUCUUUCAAUGCUGUAAUUCUAGAAGCUAGGAAAGAACCAUUACUGUCUUGCCUUGAG